GGGUACGAAGGGGGAGUAAACCGUUUUCAUUUUCGCGAACACAGAUCCAAGAGCUCUCUCUGUUUGCUCCGACGAAGGCGACAGGGAAAGCGUUUCCGACGAGAUUUGAGUGGAGACUUUAGGAGAUACUGAAAUGACGACGAGACGGAGACGAGCAGGGAAAGAACCUGCAGCCGAGGAGGGAAAUAGAGGGGAUGGCCCCGACGAGAGAUUGCCGGAGAGGCUAUUUGCGACGGACUGAUACCCUAGCAAGCGACUGAAUGUCUACUCGACACUGGAAUACCUUGUCUUUGUGAGGGAUGUCCUUCGAGGUACGCUUGAGAUGGAUCGUAUUUUGGGUUCCUGCUUUGGCAAGCUGUUCGAUUUACCGGCUCAGAGCUUAUUGUGCAGCCGGUGAUGGAGAUUGGCACAAACAAGUCAUAUGGGUGGGGAAAUGGGAUGAUGAGAUAGAA